UACAGAGGGGGCAAGCGUUAUUCGGAAUUAUUGGGCGUAAAGGGCGCGUCGGCGGCUUUGCAAGUGACGGGUGAAAUCCCUCGGCUUAACCGAGGAACUGCCUGUCAAACUGCAUGGCUUGAGACCGGGAGAGGUGAGUGGAAUUCCCAGUGUAGCGGUGAAAUGCGUAGAUAUUGGGAGGAACACCAGUGGCGAAGGCGGCUCACUGGACCGGUACUGACGCUGAUGCGCGAAAGCGUGGGGAGCAAACAGG
rnacentral:rRNA from 1 species